AGUGAAAUUACUGGGUCGUAUGGUAACUCUGUGUUCAAUAUUUUUAAGGAACUGCCAAACUGUUUCCCAAAGUGGCUGCACCAUUUUACAAUCCCAUCAGCAAU
rnacentral:pre_miRNA from 1 species